UUUUCAAAGAGAAUAAGCAUUAAAUUCCAAACAUUCUUUGAAGAAUUAACUUUCUGACUCAAUAACAAAUGCUUCCCAAGCCUUUCCGAGUCGCUACCUCAAUUAUUUGACAUUCUAACCUCAAAAAUGCGUAUGAACUACAUCGCCG